AGAGCAGGCCAGGCAGUCGCGGCUCGGAGGCUUCGGCGGGUCUGAAGCAUCGGAGGCGAGGAAAGUCCGGACUCCACAGGGCAGGGUGAUGGCUAACGGCCAUCCGUGGCGACACGCGGAACAGGGCAACAGAGAACAGACCGCCGAUGGCCCGAUUUCGGUCGGGAUCAGGUAAGGGUGAAACGGUGC
rnacentral:RNase_P_RNA from 1 species